AUGGGGAGCACGAAGCGAGGCCUGGGGCGGGGCUUGGUCCUGGCGACGGGCUUGGAUUGGCGCGCUGCGGAUCUCCCUGCUGCCUUACAAGGCGGUGCGAGGCGAGCUAUUUUUAGAGGGCUAUAUAAGGGGGCUGAGGCUGCCGCCGGGCUGCCGGGUAACACGAGCGCGAGGGACGGGGAGGGUCGCGGCGACACUUGCGCUGGCUCCGGGGACGCCGAGGCGGCCGGGAUCGGGCUGCACGCCGGCCUCCGACCCUCGCUUUGGUGCCUAGCGGAGCCAGGGCGUUCGGAGCCGGUUCCCCUGAGAAGGGAAAGGGUCGCAUGUUGCCGUUCUGGCGUGGACGCGGCCGGUCAGGAGGCUGCCAGGGUGCAGAGAAGAAGCGCCAGAGGAGGAAGUGCCGCUCACAAUGGAGCAGAACAAAGGGGAGCGGAGCGCAGAGAGCAGCCUGUGCCCGCCCCGCGCCCGCACGCAGUCCCCGCCCCCCACGCCCCUUGGCGCCGCGGUGCGCCCCCCGCCCCCCAGCCUGUCCUGCCUUCUGACCCCGUGAAGGGGGAAUGCAGCCGGGGUCAGACCCCCAGUUAGCGCUGACUGGAAGGGGACACUUUACUGGAGUGUGUUAAAGACAAUAGAGGGAAGCUGGGUGGACGUGGGGUGCAGGCUGGAGCUGGCAACUUGCUCUGGUGUUAAAGGCAAGGCUCCCCAUGUGGCUUGGAGAGAGGAUGUCUACCUGCCCAAAGUGCGGUGGUGAGAGGAGAGGAACCGAAUUACUUUCUGAAGCUAUCAUAUAGAGUUUUAUCUAUAGAGACCCUGUUGUCUCUUAGAUGAAACCCUUGCACUACGCACGUUGUUGGGGUUGAACAGUUGUUUGCUUGACCUUAAGUGGUUAGUGUCGUUCAAGCUUCCCCAAAAUGCACUGAGAGCUGAACUUCCACUUCUGGAAUGAUUGCAGAAUUUGGUAUUUCUUCAGAGAUGAGAAACUUAAUUCACCCUGCAGUGGAAGAAACAUAUCCACCUUAAUCACCCUUCUCAGCUGUCUCGCCUUCUUACUAUGUGGAACUCCAUAUCUCAAUAUUUGAAAGAUUCUGUUUUAUAGAACAAACACCAUUUGAAAUUCAGUAUUUGUCAGGGGAAAUUAAACAGGAAUUAUUGAGUUGAGGACAAUCUAGUUUAUUUACUUUCUGAUGUCUGGGAUUCUGUUGGUCAGAUCUACCUGUAUAAUUGUGAAUUUACUGUAAAUGUAUGUGCAUGGACUACACAGAUCUUGGUGCAUUUAGUAUUAUACAUACAUAUUCAUGGUGCCAGGGGAUAAAUGGUAUAAAAAGGUUAAAAGUCCUACAUGAAUAAGGUGGUAUUACGAUAGCACACAUAUAACUGCCAGUAUAUGAGAAGACUGCCUGGGCCUUUCCCAGAGGUAGAAAAGCACUUAGAGCCAUCACAUCCCAAUGAAUGUGUUAACUUGCUCCUUAUGGUCAUCCCUACUGCCACUUCCUAGCCAUGAGACUUUAAGAAAAUUACUGGCUCAAACCCUCUGGGCUGUGCAUCUCAGAAACAGGAAUAGUGGUAUCUGCCUUGCCUGGUUAUU
rnacentral:lncRNA from 1 species